rnacentral:rRNA from 1 species
AUUGAACGCUGGCGGCAUGCCUUACACAUGCAAGUCGAACGGCAGCAUAGGAGCUUGCUCCUGAUGGCGAGUGGCGAACGGGUGAGUAAUAUAUCGGAACGUGCCCUAGAGUGGGGGAUAACUAGUCGAAAGACUAGCUAAUACCGCAUACGAUCUACGGAUGAAAGUGGGGGAUCGCAAGACCUCAUGCUCCUGGAGCGGCCGAUAUCUGAUUAGCUAGUUGGUGGGGUAAAAGCCUACCAAGGCGACGAUCAGUAGCUGGUCUGAUAGGACGACCAUGCUUUCCGGGCCGGUGACACGGCUCAGACGUCUAAGGGAGCAAGCGGUGGGUAAUAUUGGUCAGCGCGUGCAUACCUGACCCAUCCAUGCCGCCUGUGUGAAGGAGUCCUUAUGGUUGAAGAGCACCUUAAGCGAGGAGGAGGCGCUCUUGGUCAAUAUCCAAGAUAAGAGUACGUCACGCGCAGAAUAAGCGCCGGCUAAUUCUGGGCCAGCCGCCCGCCGUAA